ensembl:lincRNA Ptgs2os2 prostaglandin-endoperoxide synthase 2, opposite strand 2
AUUCCCUCUGAGUUUGCCUCCAAGAUCAUGCGCGGGACAUUCUGAGAAACCGUGCCCAGAGACAAAAAGGAAGCUUGGCAUUGUGAAAAAGCUGGCUUUUAAUGAGUUGAUGUGAAAAGCUGCACGCACAUUAGAGAGACAUGCUGUACUCUUGGAACUUUCUCGACAAAAGAAAACAUGCAUAAGACUCCUCACCUCACUGCUUCUGCCCAUAAAACUUUCCUCUGAUUCAAAGGAAUCCAGCCAUCUCUCGUUAACUCACUCAGCCUUGAUUCAUUUAAUCACUCUAAAGCUCUGCUAAGUACUUGUUAUGUGCUGUGAAUGAAACUGUUGCUAAGUACAAGCAAAUAAACAUUGCCACUUUCCUAAUGUGGUAUCUAACAGGCACAGGGUAGUGAAAUGAGCCCUAUGGAAGAGCUGUGGGCAGGGCUACCUAAAGGAGGUUGACAACUUAAUGGCAAGUAGGUGAGUGUUUUUGGGAGAGAGUGUACUUAAAUUACCAUUCAAAUGUAAGAAAACUUAGACUGCAAAAGUGGGAAGGAAGGUCUUUGGGAGAGAAGUAUAAGAUUCUGAAGAUCUUGAGAUACAAAGAAAAAAAUGAAACAUUUAGGAUAAUGGCUAGCUGAAAAUUUGAAAGUCAGGAGAGUGAAAGCUUCCGUUUUGCAGUCAAUCUUAAAUAUGAAUCUGAAUGUAUAUUUCCCUUCCUGAAAACUUUUCACUAGCUUCCAAACAUUUAUGGAAUAAAGAAUGUAUGUCAGUGUUCUUUGCCUCAGUUUCACUCAUUUUUGUAGUGAGAAUUUUGGUUUCUUUAAAAACACAGAAAUCUUGUAAGAAUGCUUUCAUUUUAAUCCCAGGUGUGGAAUAUGAGGCUCCUUUAGGUUGUUCACAGCAACUGACUGUGAUUUGCCUGGUGCUCUAGCAAAGGCGUGAUUUUGCCAGAUGCAGAUAGUUUUUGCAACUAUGUGAUGUUUUCUGGGAACUUUUCAGAGGUUAUACAGAUGAUAGAGCCCUAAUAAGUGGGUUGUUAUGUGCAUAUUGUUAGUUGUUGGUUGGUUGCUGCUGUUUGUGGUUUGUUACAUAGUCAUGGGCAAAGAAGAAACAAGAAGAAAUUAGAUAUCCUGCUGUCUAAGAUCAAACUUGCCUCAAGGAACUCGAUGCCCUAAUCAGCAGGAAGUAGUCUAAUGAUAACUUUAUCCUUUCCCCCUCAAUUCUUUCUUAUAUGAUCUUAAAAUAUUGAAAGAAUCAAAGAAAAGGGUGAAGAAGAAUGGGAGAAAGAAGAACCCACAAAGUAGCCAAAAGUCUGGCUAUAUAUUUUUGAAAUCAAUGUGACUGUCUAAACAUGAACUGAACAAGGAUAACAGCAAUAGAUACACCAAAGCAGAUUGGGAAAAGACUAUGAGGCCUCAGCCCUACACAAGGAACUAAGGAAUGCUGAGAGUGGGAGAAAUAGUCCUAUCCAGGGAAGAGCACCUCAGCUGGUUAUCCCAUACUUACUGGCCAGCCCUGAAAAUGUACAUACAAGUAACAUUAUACAAACUGAGCAGGUUGCAUUUAUUAUAUAUACAUAUUACAUGUGUGUAUAUUAUAUUAUAUUAUAUUAUAUUAUAUUAUAUUAUCUUUACAUAUAAUAUGUAUUACAUAUGUAGCAACAACUAAAUUAAAAAAGAGGCUAUGAAUUUGAAAGAGAGCAAGGAGGGCAUAUAGAGGGCUUGGAGGGAGAAAAGGGAAGAAGAAAAUAAUGUAAUCAUAUUAUAAUCUCAAC